UCCUUCAUAGCUCAGUCGGUAAAGAAUCUGCCUGCAAUGCAGGAGACCCAGGUUCGAUCCCUGGGUCAGGAA
rnacentral:tRNA from 1 species